rnacentral:rRNA from 1 species
CCUACGGGUGGCAGCAGUGGGGAAUAUUGCGCAAUGGGCGAAAGCCUGACGCAGCGACGCCGCGUGAGGGAUGAAGGUCCUCGGAUCGUAAACCUCUGUUAGCAGGGAAGAACGGUCACUGUGCUAAUCAGCAGUGAAUUGACGGUACCUGCAAAGGAAGCACCGGCUAAUUCCGUGCCAGCAGCCGCGGUAAUACGGAGGGUGCGAGCGUGAAUCGGAAUUACUGGGCGUAAAGCGCUCGUAGGCGGUAUGUCAAGUCAAGGGUGAAAUCCCCGCGCUCAACGUGGGAACUGCCUUUGAAACUGGCAAACUGGAGUGUGUGAGAGGAUAGUGGAAUUCCAGGUGUAGGAGUGAAAGCCGUAGAUAUCUGGAGGAACAUCAGUGGCGAAGGCGACUAUCUGGCACAUAACUGACGCUGAGGAGCGAAAGCGUGGGUAGCAAACAGGAUUAGAUACCCCAGUAGUC